rnacentral:siRNA from 1 species
AGUUUCGGGUACGGAGGGAUUA